rnacentral:rRNA from 1 species
UACGGAGGAUCCAAGCGUUAUCCGGAUUUAUUGGGUUUAAAGGGUGCGUAGGCGGUUUAUUAAGUCAGUGGUGGAAGCCCGGAGCUCAACUUCGGAACUGCCAUUGAUACUGAUAGACUUGAGUACAGGUGAAGUGGGCGGAAUGUGACAAGUAGCGGUGAAAUGCUUAGAUAUGUCACAGAACACCGAUUGCGAAGGCAGCUCACUAAAGUGUAACUGACGCUGAGGCACGAAAGCGUGGGGAUCAAACAGG